ACAACACAAACAAGGAAACAGAAUACCAAUACAUGGACUUACAUCCGACUCCAAACACACACAAACAAGGAAAUAGAACGCCAAUACAUGGACUUAUAUCCAACUCCAAACAGACACACGCUAACCAGCGAACACCAAAGAAAAAGGUUAUCAGAUCAACAAGCUAAUAGGGAGUCUGGAACUCGAACCUAAUAGCUACACAAACAAAA
rnacentral:lncRNA from 1 species